AUAGAACGCUGGCGGCAUGCUUUACACAUGCAAGUCGAACGGUAACAGGUUAAGCUGACGAGUGGCGAACGGGUGAGUAAUGCAUCGGAACGUGCCCGAUCGUGGGGGAUAACGCAGCGAAAGCUGCGCUAAUACCGCAUACGAUCUGAGGAUGAAAGCGGGGGACCGUAAGGCCCCGCGCGAUCGGAGCGGCCGAUGUCAGAUUAGGUAGUUGGUGGGGUAAAGGCCCACCAAGCCGACGAUCUGUAGCUGGUCUGAGAGGACGACCAGCCACACUGGGACUGAGACACGGCCCAGACUCCUACGGGAGGCAGCAGUGGGGAAUUUUGGACAAUGGGCGAAAGCCUGAUCCAGCAAUGCCGCGUGCAGGAAGAAGGCCUUCGGGUUGUAAACUGCUUUUGUACGGAGCGAAAAGGUCCUUUCUAAUACAAGGGGCUCAUGACGGUACCGUAAGAAUAAGCACCGGCUAACUACGUGCCAGCAGCCGCAGUAAUAC
rnacentral:rRNA from 1 species